CGGUAAGAAUACCAGAUACACGUCAAAAUAAUUUUAACCUGCGUAGCAAGCCAAAAGGGUUGCCGGGAAAGAAGAGAGGAGACGUGGCGCGCACUAGGGAGAGGGUAAGAUGAGGGAGAGCUUGCGCUCCAUUUCCCUACAUUCGCUCUAGGGGGGAGGGGAGGGUUGACAUCCUUCCCAUGAUGCACUUCGUCAAAGCAUAUAUUAUCAACCGCUGCGCGUCGUGAUGGCGCGCAGAUGAUGUUAGUCAUGAAGGCAUUAAGAGCAAGAUGGAAUAGCUCCGAGGCAUUUUGAGGAAGAAACUUACUUGAUUGUCGCCGAAUGCCUCGACAAUGAAAAUUCAAGAUUUAAAUUUGAAAAUAGAUGUUUUUUUUUUUGCCUUUCAAACCCACGGCCUUCUCCCACGGGCCUUCAUUACUCAAUCUCGGACGAUUUAAUUUCAAAACCUAUGCCUUUUAUACUGUAUUUUUAUUCUUCUUGGUAAAGGUUGCACUGAUGAUCACGAGAAAUUUGUUUUCUACAACUUUCUACAGCUAAAAAUGACUAAAAAAUAACAAACUUUUAAAAAUAGCGUGCCCGCUAUUUUCGCUCGUUACUUUCGAUCAUCAGCUCAAAAUAUUUCCUUGGCGGCCUAAAUGGAUUAUGACGUCAUCAUUCAAGCCCCUCGCCUUUUACCGCCGGGAAGAUUUAUUUUUCGCUUUAAAAGCUUUUUCCCGUCGAUUUUUGCAAUUUUAGAGCAGCCAGUGUGUUAGGUCAUCUUUCCAAGAUAUCUCGUGCAAGGCUUCGAAGCGAUGGAGUUAAAAUAUGGAAGAUGAUAUUGACCAUGGCAAAGAAGAUGAAGAUAAGUAAAUAUAUAAGGAUGGACAGAGAGAUAAUUGAAUUUUCUCCUUUGUAUUCCACUCUUAGUGAUAAAAAAACUUAUACUAUUCUUUUUUUUUUAAUAUUUGUUUUAUUUGUUCAAGCUAUGUGUUAUUGACUAUUACACUUUUUGAAAGUAUGGUUACAAAUUGACCCCCUAGUUCUGUAGCACUGCCAAGAAAAUAGGGGGGACCCCCUUCGUAUUUACAAAGACAAUGCUUAAAGAACGCUGCUUUGUGUGAAAAUGGUAUAAGAUUACAUGACUUUCAACGUUAAUGGAGAUUUGCACCCCAGCCUCUGCUACGGCCCUGCCCCUGGUCCAUGGACCCCUUGUUGAAAAUAGGUUUUCUAGUAAUAACAUGUUUUCUAGCGAGGGAAGGUUUUCUCUACUUUUAGUAUGAUCCGAGUAUAAACCAAGAGCAUGGAUGAAGGUUGGUUAAAAAGUUUCUAUGUAUUAAAUCCCCAGAGCUAACACAGUAUUAUACUUCUGGGGUUUUCUAAUUCGCACUAAAACAUAAUAUAAGACACAGCAUAUUGUGCAUUCAAGGUGCAAUGGACUUUUGAAAUGAGAGGGGAUCUAUGAUUAUUUCACAUCACUUUUAUGUAUGGUGCUUGAUUAUAAAAAUUGUAUGAUUGGACAAAUCGUUUCCACUUUUCCCCCAUUUACUCUGACUAAAAAUUUUCAACCAGAAAGAAUUCAAAUCAUUAGAAUUCUGUUGGAGUAAAAUUUAUGAGAAGAGUGAUAAGCUCAUGAAAAUGAUUUGUUUUCUAGACAUAUUGCAUAAUACAUAUGCUGUAAAAACAUUUACAUGUGUCCACUGCAUUUCUUUGGGAUUGAACAAUUUAACAACAGGCUUGUGUAUUUUGAGGGUUACAAGUUUUCAUCCUUUUUGGGUGUAUGACAUUUUGAGCUCUGUUGGACCCUUCCAUCAUGUUUAUAACUAAAUACCCCCCCCUUUCCAACCCACCCCUGGGCUAUUAAGCUUCAAGGCAUAUAAAUCCUUAGCCCAUUCAGCCUUUCGGGUAUUAAGUCAUAGCCCAUUCAUGCUCUAGCGACAUUGUCAAAUAUUUAAAUUUAAGAGUUAUACAAUCGAUGGGCUGGUUGGUACAAGCCAAGAAAAAAAAUUCAAACUGUGUCUUCUAUUUGUUUUAUUUGAUAUUAUGAUUGAUUUUAUUUGAUUUCUGUGUACCACAUGCUUUUUGUGUGUAGGAGAUGAGACGAUUUAAGCUUAUACCACUAUUAAGUCAUUAAAACAAAUAUGAAAUAC